AUGGACGAAAGUCUGACGGAGCAACGCCGCGUGAGUGAUGAAGGUUUUCGGAUCGUAAAACUCUGUUGUCAGGGAAGAACAAGUGCCGGAGUAACUGCCGGCACCUUGACGGUACCUGACCAGAAAGCCACGGCUAACUACGUGCCAGCAGCCGCGGUAAUACGUAGGUGGCAAGCGUUGUCCGGAAUUAUUGGGCGUAAAGCGCGCGCAGGCGGUUUCUUAAGUCUGAUGUGAAAGCCCCCGGCUCAACCGGGGAGGGUCAUUGGAAACUGGGAAACUUGAGUGCAGAAGAGGAGAGUGGAAUUCCACGUGUAGCGGUGAAAUGCGUAGAGAUGUGGAGGAACACCAGUGGCGAAGGCGACUCUCUGGUCUGUAACUGACGCUGAGGCGCGAAAGCGUGGGGAGCGAACAGGAUUAGAUACCCUGGUAGUCCACGCCGUAAACGAUGAGUGCUAAGUGUUAGAGGGUUUCCGCCCUUUAGUGCUGCAGCUAACGCAUUAAGCACUCCGCCUGGGGAGUACGGUCGCAAGACUGAAACUCAAAGGAAUUGACGGGGGCCCGCACAAGCGGUGGAGCAUGUGGUUUAAUUCGAAGCAACGCGAAGAACCUUACCAGGUCUUGACAUCCUUUGCCACUUCUAGAGAUAGAAGGUUCCCCUUCGGGGGACAAAGUGACAGGUGGUGCAUGGUUGUCGUCAGCUCGUGUCGUGAGAUGUUGGGUUAAGUCCCGCAACGAGCGCAACCCUUGAUCUUAGUUGCCAGCAUUCAGUUGGGCACUCUAAGGUGACUGCCGGUGACAAACCGGAGGAAGGUGGGGAUGACGUCAAAUCAUCAUGCCCCUUAUGACCUGGGCUACACACGUGCUACAAUGGAUGGUACAAAGGGCUGCGAGACCGCGAGGUUUAGCCAAUCCCAUAAAACCAUUCUCAGUUCGGAUUGCAGGCUGCAACUCGCCUGCAUGAAGCUGGAAUCGCUAGUAAUCGCGGAUCAGCAUGCCGCGGUGAAUACGUUCCCGGGCCUUGUACACACCGCCCGUCACACCACGAGAGUUUGCAACACCCGAAGUCGGUGGGGUAACCGCAAGGAGCC
rnacentral:rRNA from 1 species